CCCUUAGAUGUCCUGGGCCGCACGCGCGCUACACUGAUGCAUGCAACGAGUUUAUAACCUUGGCCUGAAAGGUCUGGGUAAUCUUUUGAACGUGCAUCGUGAUAGGGAUAGAUUAUUGCAAUUGUUAAUCUUGAACGAGGAAUUCCUAGUAAACGCGAGUCAUCAGCUCGCAUUGAUUACGUCCCUGCCCUUUGUACACACCGCCCGUCGCACCUACCGAUUGAAUGGUUCGGUGAAGAUCUCGGACUUCGAUAUUUAUUCUUUAUUGAGUUUAUAUUGUGGGAAGUUAUCUAAACCUCAUCAUUUAGAGGAAGGUGAAGUCGCAACA
rnacentral:rRNA from 1 species